AGGAUUAUAGUUAAAUAUAACAUUUAAUUUGCAAUUAAAAAGUGCAUUAAUGCUAAUCUUA
rnacentral:tRNA from 1 species